AUUGAUGGCGAGUGGCGAACGGGUGAGUAAUACACCGGAACGUGCCCUGUAGUGGGGGAUAACUAGUCGAAAGAUUAGCUAAUACCGCAUACGACCUGAGGGUGAAAGUGGGGGACCGCAAGGCCUCAUGCUAUAGGAGCGGCCGAUGUCUGAUUAGCUAGUUGGUGAGGUAAAGGCUCACCAAGGCGACGAUCAGUAGCUGGUCUGAGAGGACGAUCAGCCACACUGGGACUGAGACACGGCCCAGACUCCUACGGGAGGCAGCAGUGGGGAAUUUUGGACAAUGGGCGAAAGCCUGAUCCAGCAAUGCCGCGUGUGUGAAGAAGGCCUUCGGGUUGUAAAGCACUUUUGUCCGGAAAGAGAUGGCUCUGGUUAAUACCUGGGGUCGAUGACGGUACCGGAAGAAUAAGGACCGGCUAACUACGUGCCAGCAGCCGCGGUAAUACGUAGGGUCCAAGCGUUAAUCGGAAUUACUGGGCGUAAAGCGUGCGCAGGCGGUUGUGCAAGACCGAUGUGAAAUCCCCGAGCUUAACUUGGGAAUUGCAUUGGUGACUGCACGGCUAGAGUGUGUCAGAGGGGGGUAGAAUUCCACGUGUAGCAGUGAAAUGCGUAGAGAUGUGGAGGAAUACCGAUGG
rnacentral:rRNA from 1 species